rnacentral:rRNA from 1 species
ACGGGAGGCAGCAGUGGGGAAUAUUGGGCAAUGGGCGCAAGCCUGACCCAGCAACGCCGCGUGAAGGAUGCAGGUCUUCGGAUUGUAAACUUCUUUGAUCAGGGACGAAUGAUGACGGUACCUGAAGAACGAGUCACGGCUAACUACGUGCCAGCAGCCGCGGUAAUACGUAGGUGACAAGCGUUAUCCGGAUUUACUGGGUGUAAAGGGCGUGUAGGCGGUUUGGCAAGUCAGAAGUGAAAUUCCCGGGCUUAACUUGGGCGCUGCUUCUGAAACUGCUUAACUUGAGUACUGGAGAGGAUAGUGGAAUUCCUAGUGUAGCGGUAAAAUGCACAGAUAUUAGGAGGAACACCGGUGGCGAAGGCGGCUAUCUGGACAGUAACUGACGCUGAGGCGCGAAAGCACGGGGAGCAAACAGGAUUAGAUACCCUGGUA